CCAAGGAGUCUAACAUGUGCGCGAGUCAUUGGGUCUUGCUCAGGCCCAAAGGCGAAAUGAAAGUGAAGGCCGGCUCGGUCGGCUGCGUUGGGAUCCCGCCCUCGACGGCGGGCGCACCAACGGCCCGUCCCAGUCGCUGCGUCGACGGGGCGGAGUGAGAGCGUACACGUUGGGACCCGAAAGAUGGUGAACUAUGCCUGGGCAGGACGAAGCCAGAGGAAACUCUGGUGGAGGUCCGCAGCGAUUCUGACGUGCAAAUCGAUCGUCAGACCUGGGUAUAGGGGCGAAAGACUAAUCGAACCAUCUAGUAGCUGGUUCCCUCCGAAGUUUCCCUCAGGAUAGCUGGCGCUCGGAGGAAGCAUUCUCAUCCGGUAAAGCGAAUGAUUAGAGGCCUUGGGGCCGAAACGACCUCAACCUAUUCUCAAACUUUAAAUGGGUGAGAAGUCCGGCUUGCUCGACUGAAGCCCGGACGUGAGGAUGCGAGUGCCCAGUGGGCCACUUUUG
rnacentral:rRNA from 1 species